UAACACAUGCCGCAGUUUUGACUGCUUUAU
rnacentral:piRNA from 1 species